CUUACACGUGGGUCACCUGCCUGUAAGACUGGGAUAACUCCGGGAAACCGGGGCUAAUACCGGAUGGUUGUCUGAACCGCAUGGUUCAGACAUAAAAGGUGGCUUCGGCUACCACUUACAGAUGGACCCGCGGCGCAUUAGCUAGUUGGUGAGGUAACGGCUCACCAAGGCGACGAUGCGUAGCCGACCUGAGAGGGUGAUCGGCCACACUGGGACUGAGACACGGCCCAGACUCCUACGGGAGGCAGCAGUAGGGAAUCUUCCGCAAUGGACGAAAGUCUGACGGAGCAACGCCGCGUGAGUGAUGAAGGUUUUCGGAUCGUAAAGCUCUGUUGUUAGGGAAGAACAAGUGCCGUUCAAAUAGGGCGGCACCUUGACGGUACCUAACCAGAAAGCCACGGCUAACUACGUGCCAGCAGCCGCGGUAAUACGUAGGUGGCAAGCGUUGUCCGGAAUUAUUGGGCGUAAAGGGCUCGCAGGCGGUUUCUUAAGUCUGAUGUGAAAGCCCCCGGCUCAACCGGGGAGGGUCAUUGGAAACUGGGGAACUUGAGUGCAGAAGAGGAGAGUGGAAUUCCACGUGUAGCGGUGAAAUGCGUAGAGAUGUGGAGGAACACCAGUGGCGAAGGCGACUCUCUGGUCUGUAACUGACGCUGAGGAGCGAAAGCGUGGGGAGCGAACAGGAUUAGAUACCCCUGGUAGUCCACGCCGUAAACGAUGAGUGCUAAGUGUUAGGGGGNUUCCCGCCCCCUUAGUGCUGCAGCUAACGCAUUAAGCACUCCGCCUGGGGGAGUACGGUCGCAAGACUGAAACUCNAAGGAAUUGACGGGGGGCCCGCACAAGC
rnacentral:rRNA from 1 species